rnacentral:rRNA from 1 species
UACAACUCUGAACGGUGGAUCACUCGG